rnacentral:rRNA from 1 species
CAGGCUUAACACAUGCAAGUCGAGGGGCAGCGAGGGUGAUAGCAAUAUUACCUGUCGGCGACCGGCGCACGGGUGCGUAACGCGUAUGCAACCUACCAUCAACAGGGGGAUAACACUGAGAAAUUGGUACUAAUACCCCAUAAUAUCUCAUGCGGCAUCGCAUGGGGUUGAAAACUCCGGUGGUUGAUGAUGGGCAUGCGUUGUAUUAGCUGGUUGGUGAGGUAACGGCUCACCAAGGCGACGAUACAUAGGGGGACUGAGAGGUUAACCCCCCACAUUGGUACUGAGACACGGACCAAACUCCUACGGGAGGCAGCAGUGAGGAAUAUUGGUCAAUGGACGCAAGUCUGAACCAGCCAUGCCGCGUGCAGGAUGACGGCUCUAUGAGUUGUAAACUGCUUUUGUACGAGGGUAAACCCCGAUACGUGUAUUGGGUUGAAAGUAUCGUACGAAUAAGGAUCGGCUAACUCCGUGCCAGCAGCCGCGGUAAUACGGAGGAUCCGAGCGUUAUCCGGAUUUAUUGGGUUUAAAGGGUGCGUAGGCGGUUUGAUAAGUUAGAGGUGAAAUGUCGGGGCUCAACCCCGAAACUGCCUCUAAUACUGUUGGACUAGAGAAUAGUUGCGGUAGGCGGAAUGUAUGGUAUAGCGGUGAAAUGCUUAGAGAUCAUACAGAACACCGAUUGCGAAGGCAGCUUACCAAACUAUAUCUGACGUUGAGGCACGAAAGCGUGGGUAGCAAACAGGAUUAGAUACCCUGGUAGUCCACGCAGUAAACGAUGAUAACUCGUUGUCGGCGAUACACAGUCGGUGACUAAGCGAAAGCGAUAAGUUAUCCACCUGGGGAGUACGUUCGCAAGAAUGAAACUCAAAGGAAUUGACGGGGGCCCGCACAAGCGGAGGAACAUGUGGUUUAAUUCGAUGAUACGCGAGGAACCUUACCCGGGCUUGAAAGUUAGCGACGACGCUUGAAAGAGCGUUUCCCUUCGGGGCGCGAAACUAGGUGCUGCAUGGUUGUCGUCAGCUCGUGCCGUGAGGUGUCGGGUUAAGUCCCAUAACGAGCGCAACCCCUACUGUUAGUUGCCAUCAGGUGAUGCUGGGCACUCUAGCGGGACUGCCGGUGUAAGCCGAGAGGAAGGUGGGGAUGACGUCAAAUCAGCACGGCCCUUACGUCCGGGGCCACACACGUGUUACAAUGGUAGGUACAGAGGGCAGCUACCCUGCGAAGGGGUGCGAAUCUCGAAAGCCUAUCUCAGUUCGGAUUGGAGGCUGAAACCCGCCUCCAUGAAGUUGGAUUCGCUAGUAAUCGCGCAUCAGCCAUGGCGCGGUGAAUACGUUCCCGGGCCU